AUUGAACGCUGGCGGCAGGCCUAACAUAUGCAAGUCGAACGGUAACAGGAAGAAGCUUGCUUCUUUGCUGACGAGUGGCGGACGGGUGAGUAAUGUCUGGGAAACUGCCUGAUGGAGGGGGAUAACUACUGGAAACGGUAGCUAAUACCGCAUAACGUCGCAAGACCAAAGAGGGGGACCUUCGGGCCUCUUGCCAUCGUAUGUGCCCAGAUGGGAUUAGCUAGUAGGUGGGGUAACGGCUCACCUAGGCGACGAUCCCUAGCUGGUCUGAGAGGAUGACCAGCCACACUGGAACUGAGACACGGUCCAGACUCCUACGGGAGGCAGCAGUGGGGAAUAUUGCACAAUGGGCGCAAGCCUGAUGCAGCCAUGCAGCGUGUAUGAAGAAGGCCUUCGGGGUGUAAAGUACUUUCAGCGGGGAGGAAGGGAGUAAAGUUAAUACCUUUGCUCAUUGACGUUACCCGCAGAAGAAGCACCGGCUAACUCCGUG
rnacentral:rRNA from 1 species